AGCGCACUGCGCAUUCGCUAGCGUAGCUUUCAGGCAAGGAUUUAUUUGCAUGCGUGUGUUUCCAUGCCCAGUGGUAUUUCCCUUCUCAGGAAGGGGUAAGGAGGCAGGACACAAUGGUUUUGAUGGAAGGCAUCUUGGCGCAGCCUUAGAAGGCCCCCGUGCCCCUGCAGGUCCAGGACAGCGGGGCAGCGACCGCUGGGGCUGCGAUCUGCUCCCUUUGCUGCUCCAUCAGCACAAUUGCAUGGCGGAUGGCGGCUCCCACACACGGGGCUCCGAGGGGAGGUCGGCCUGCAGAUAGCAUUUCACAGAAUGAGCGGCUGCUGGGCCAUGUUUGGCCAACGAGGGACAAGCAGGAGCACUGCAGCGAGAGAUCCCAGAGACGAGCAACAUGCCUCCACUUUCCUUCCAUUUCCAAACCCCGGCUCCGCCAGGCAGAGACGACCACGUUAGAAAAACACACAAGAUCGAACCCGACAUCAACGGCGGCACAACAAACCCUGAAAACAUCGGCGCAGCCCCGUCCUGACCCACACCAUCACCCGCACACCGCCGCUCUCGCAAAGCAACCCUUCCUUCUCCAAAACCGAUUUCCUCCCCUCCUUAUUUCUGCUGCACAAGGAAAGAAGCUCCCGGCCUUUGUCUGCCUGUGGGAUGGGACCCAGGUAACACAGCCCCCAAGCUGCUGAGCCCCCCGCGGGCGGUCAGGAAGGGAAAGCUCCUUCAAACCAG
rnacentral:lncRNA from 1 species